rnacentral:piRNA from 1 species
UGAGUAGAGAUGAUACUGCCAUCCGCA